rnacentral:rRNA from 1 species
GUCCACACCGUAACGAUGAUUACUAGGUGUUGGAGGAUUGACCCCUUCAGUGCCGCAGUUAACACAAUAAGUAAUCCACCUGGGGAGUACGACCGCAAGGUUGAAACUCAAAGGAAUUGACGGGGCCCGCACAAGCAGCGGAGCAUGUUGUUAAUUCGAUGCAACGCGAAGAACCUUACCAUGUCUUGACAUCGAGGUAAACUGUAGAAAUACAGGGUGGAUUCGUCGACCGAAGACAGGUGGUGCAUGGUUGUCGU